AUGAACUAUAAUAUGCAAGGGAUGAACAAGACUAUUCCCGAGCUCUUCGCAAUGCUGAAAGCUGCGGAGGUAGAAAUCAAGAAGGAGCAUCAAGUGUUGAUGGUUAACAAGACCACUAGUUUCAAGAAAAAGGGCAAAGGAAAGAAGAAAGGGAACUUCAAGAAGAACGGCAAGCAAGUUGCUGCUCAAGAGAAGAAACCCAAGUCUGGACCUAAGCCUGAAACUGAGUGCUUCUACUGCAAGCAGACUGGUCACUGGAAGCGGAACUGCCCCAAGUAUUUGGCGGAUAAGAAGGAUGGCAAGGUGAACAAAGGGACUACGGAAUAA
rnacentral:rRNA from 1 species